rnacentral:rRNA from 1 species
UACGGAGGGUGCGAGCGUUAAUCGGAAUUACUGGGCGUAAAGGGUGCGUAGGUGGUUUAUUAAGUUAUCUGUGAAAUCCCUGGGCUCAACCUGGGCAGGUCAGAUAAGACUGGUAAACUCGAGUAUGGGAGAGGGUAGUGGAAUUUCCGGUGUAGCGGUGAAAUGCGUAGAGAUCGGAAAGAACACCAACGGCGAAAGCACUCUGCUGGGCCGACACUGACACUGAGAGACGAAAGCUAGGGGAGCGAAUGGG